UCAGCAUCAGUGAUGAGAUUAUAUAAAAACUUGUUAUCCUUGCACUUUGAUUCACCGUGAAGAAAAGAACGGGGUUUUAAUUCUCUGAGAUGCUU